CGAACCGAGCGAACGUUGUUCGGAAUCACUGGGCUUAAAGGGCGCGUAGGCGGGCUGUCAAGUCUGGGGUGAAAUCCCGCGGCUCAACCGUGGAACUGCCUCAGAUACUGACGGCUCGAGGGAGAUAGGGGCGAGCGGAACUAAUGGUGGAGCGGUGAAAUGCGUUGAUAUCAUUAGGAACUCCGGUGGCGAAGGCGGCUCGCUGGAUCUUUUCUGACGCUGAGGCGCGAAAGCUAGGGGAGCAAACGGGAUUAGAUACCCCGGUAGUCCUAGCCCUAAACGUUGGGUACUAGGUAGUAGGCUAGACAUGGGUUUACUGCCGAAGCAAAAAGUGCUAAGUACCCCGCCUGGGGGAGUAUGGUCGCAAGGCUG
rnacentral:rRNA from 1 species